UUCCCCCCCUCUCUCUCUCUUUCAUCCCUCCACCUCCCUCCUCCCAUCUUCAUUUGUCUCCUGUGUAAAAACUAGUGACGCAUGAAGAUCAGAUCAGGCUCAAUCUGUUCAGUGUCUGAAGAAGACAUCUCUGUCUCUGGUUCUCUCUGUGUUGGCGGAGCAGCAUGAUGACCUGUGACUCUCAUUAACCACGUCUGUUCCUCAUCAUCUGAAUCUCUCUCUCUCUCGCUCUGUCGAAGUCUGUCUCUUGUCUCCCUCUUUCUCCUGCACCUCUAUCCCACUCUCUUUCUUCGACUCUUUCUUUGACUCUCUCACCCGCUCCUCUCUCACUCUUUCCUCUUUCUGUCCUUCUCCUUCCUCUCUCUCCUCCCUCAGUCUUUCUCCAGACAGACCGUUAGGGAGGCUGGGGAGAUCAACAUCACUCAUCUUCAUUUGUCAUUGUGGUUUUUGUCAGCACAAUAUUUUAAUAGUUUUCUUCCAUGAAGAAAGAGAAGACUCGCCACAAGCAAAAUAUUACAUCCAGACAGAGUUUUCUCUCCCACAGCGCAUUCUUUCUUAAACUAAAUCAACAAGGGAAUAAAUAGGAAAGACGAGAAGACAGGCUCCCCCAGGCUAGUGGAGAUUACAGUUUGGUUUAUACCCAGUCAGACGGUGUUGUCCACAGCGUGAACAUUCAAAUCUAAAAAUAGAACAAACCAGAGCAUUGUUAUUGGUGAGGAAGAGGGGUUCAUUAUUUUCUUUCAUCUUUAAGAAUUAUGUGUAAUUUUCCGUUCAAAGCUCUGCUCUGGUCUGAGGUGAUUUGAUCUUGAGAAAGCGACUGCAUGUGCCUCCUGUGGCUCUAAUGGUUCUGAUGUGAAAUUCUUUAAAGGGAUAUUUGUAACAUUUUCAGCUUCAUAUUCAUCAUCUCCAGCACCACCCCAACAUCAACAUAUGUGAAAAUGUCACGUUUCUAUUUUUUGUAGUAAAAAAAAGAUGGAAGUGAAAUGUUUCCAGUGACAUCAUCGGUGUGCAUCGUGAUUUUAACCAAUUAUGAGGAAGUAUUGCCAAUUUCCAAUUAAUUGUGUACUAAUUGGAAACUAUCUUUCUGACUACAGAAAUGUGCAAUUUUGGGGUGGUGCUGGAGGUGAGGAAUAUGAAGUUGAGAAAGGGGUGGUACUGGAGAUGAGGGAUAUGAAGUUGAGAAAGGGGUGGUGCUGGAAGUGAGGGAUAUGAAGUUGAGAAAGGGGUGGUGCUGGAGGUGAGGAAUAUGAAGUUGAGAAAGGGGUGGUGCUGGAGGUGAGGAAUAUGAAGUUGAGAAAGGGGGUGGUGAGGUGAGGAAUAUGAAGUUGAGAAAGGGUGGUGCUGGAGGUGAGGGAUAUGAAGUUGAGAAAGGGGUGGUGCUGGAGGUGAGGAAUAUGAAGUUGAGAAAGGGGUGGUGCUGGAGGUGAGGAAUAUGAAGUUGAGAAAGGGUGGUGCUGGAGAUGAGGAAUAUGAUAUUGAGAAAGGGGUGGUGC